GCUGAAGAAAGCUUUUGAAGCUCCCAAACGAAAGACCAGGAGGGAGAGAACAUGCCAGUCGGACAUGUGUCUCUGCCAGAGUCCUACUCGAGUGAAGAACAUGAGAGCAUCCCUGUAAGAAAAGUGUGUAGUUUGUUAAGAAUACUGGGAGCUGUAGCUCUGUGGGGGGUAAUCUACAGCUCCUAGUAUUCAUUGGGGGGGUCACAUGCUGUGUCUCAAACGUUUGAUGUGUAUGCAGCCCACCGGCCCAUCCAGCUAAGUAUUAUCCCCUCUAACUGGCAGGAUCUCAGAAUGAAAGUGGCAUUUCCUGGUUCCACUUCUUCAUGCUUUAAACUGGAGAUAUUGGGCAUAGAACUUGGGUGGAACCAGCUCUGCUUCUCAGAUACACCCCUCCCCCUCUGGAGACAAAACUGGUUCUGCUUCAGAUUCUGUUGUACGCAGAAUCUGUCCCUAUACAUAGUACUCAAGAUCAGAGGCCUUUAGUUUUUAUUGUCAGGUAUUCCUUUGUAUUUAGGUCAGGCCUCAGUAUAAAAAUGUAGCACUUGGGCAUGAAGAUGCAGCCCAGGAGUCCAGCACUAGAAGCCAAGAUAGAGAAGAUCUGCACAGCUACCAUGUAUUUCCCCUUUGUGCUCAGGUAGGUGGGCACAAAGGAGACCCAAAUGCUGCAGAAGACCAGCAUGCUGAAGGUGAUCAGCUUGGCUUCAUUGAAGGCCCCAGGCAGCUUCCUGGCCAGGAAAGCCACCGUGAAGCAGAUGGCAGCCAGGAAGCCCAUGUAACCCAGGGCAGCAUAAAACAUGGCAACAGACCCUUCAUUGCAUUGCAGGGUGAUCUCUCCAGCCUGGGAAUGCUUGUCAGAGUCUGGGAAUGGGGGAGAGAUGCCCAGCCAAAUGGUGCAAAGGACCAUUUGGACACUGGAGCAGGAAAGGACAAUGGAGUUGGCCAGACUUUUCCCCAACCAUCUCCUCACCCUGUUCUCUGGCGUUGUGGCCAGGAAGGCCAGCACCACCAUGAUGGUUUUUGCCAACACAGAAGAAAUGGCAACCGAGAAGAUGAUGCUGAAGACCAUUUGUCGGAGAAGGCAGGUCACUUUCCUUGGCCUUCCAAUGAAGAGGAAGGAGGACAAAAAGGAAAGCAGGAGGGAGAUGAGGAGGAUAUAGGAGAGGUCCCGGUUUUUGGCUUUGGCUAUUGGAGUUUCUUUACAUUUAAUGAAGAUUCCUAAUAUGAUGCCUGUUGUCAAAGACAAGAAUAGCGUAAUAGAAGCUAAGAUUAUCCCCAAAUAUUUUUCAUAAACCAGGAAGAUGAUGAUUUUAGGGAUACAUUGAUUCUGGUGCUUGUUUGAAUAUUCAUCUUCUGGACAUUUGUGGCAAUUAUCUGCAUCUGAGGAUGAGAAAAGUGGCUUCAGCAACAAGGUUUAUCUCACUUUUCGUCACCAAAACAUCCUUGUUACACAGGAUGACGCUGAGAGGGAACGACCUCCCCAAAUCGGUGUCUCUGGCAUUAUUAUUUAUUAAAUCGAUUUGCCGUCUUUUCCACAGCAACUCAAAGCAAUGUACGAUUAUAUGAAACAAAGAAACAAAAACAUGCAUUAAAAAAUUAAAUCUACUUUUAAAAGCUAGAUUGGACCACCCCACCCACUUAAAUAGACCCUAAUAAUGAAAAGUCAGACGCCUUAUGAAAGACGACUGUUUUUGCCUGGUGACUAAAGAUAUGUAAUGAUGGCACCAGGCGAGCCUCUCUGGGGAGAGUGUUUCGCAUUGUGCAGCUUUUGCUGUAUGCCUCUUUAUGUGGACCUUUUGAUAAUUCCUUUACAUGUUUUGAUAUUUAAAUAUGAUUUCUUGUGAUACCUUAAGUUGUUCAAGCAAACAGUUCUGUGUUUCUUAAAUGUAAUACUCAUAGUAGACUCACUGUGAUAACUUGUCUAUUAUAUUGUACUGCACUGUCUCCCUAUCCCUGAAAUAAGAACUAUUUCCCUGUUAAAGAGAACCACUGAAGUGGUGGUCAAGAAGCAUGACAUUCAGGAUGUAUUUAAUUAUUUACACUUUAAGCUUCGUUACUGGGGGCUGGGAAAAGUUAUAUGGAAGUUGCUCAGCAAAGCUUCUUGGAGAUAUGAUUCCGCUAAUGAGGAAGUCUCCAGGCCGGGAGUAACUCUGCGCUUCAUUUUCUUCCCUCGUCAAAUUUAAGGAGCACUUUGCCUUCAACUUCCCCCAGACUUGAUGGUGCAUUAGAAGCAGAGGCGGCAGCAGAAGCCGCAGCAGGGAGGUAAUUCUGGCUUGGCCUCCUACACCUCUAUUUUGACUUCUCCUUUCUCCCCCACAGCCAAAUAAUCAGAAGAAGUCAACACCCUCCAGCACAGUGUGACACGUAUAACCUCAGGCUUCCUUGGCUUCUGAUGUUUGGGCAAUUGCCAGGGAUCUCUCUUGAGCUUUGGGAAGAAUAAAUCACUAUCAUUUUUAUAAUUAUAAGGGGAAGAAAGUUCCCAGGAUCUCUACAUGGUUCAAGGGGCAGGGACAGAGCUGGGGGGAAAUAUGUUUACACCAAAUCACAGAUGUGGCUUCAAACUGCAACAUGAGUCACUUGCAUUUCGGGGAUGAGUUUGGCUUGACCUUUGCUAAGAACAGCCCUGCUGGGUUAGUCCAAAGUCCCAUCUAGUCCUGCAACACAGUGGCCAAUCAGACAUUGCUGAGAAGCUCACAAGCAGGGCAUGAAAGCAAUGGGCCUUGCCAGGCACUGGUCACCAGCAACUGGCAUUUGGGGGAAGUAACUAUGUACUGCAUGAUUCAAUCUUUUGUUUGCUCUCAAUCUCCUAACCUUCAGAUUCAUUGGACGUUUAUGAGUGCUGGUGCUAUAUAAGAGAGGGAAACAAAAGGGAUGCAUCCUGCCCUUCUCCAGCAGCUCAGUGCAAAUAAGUGAGAGGUCUGCUCCAUGGGGGUGAGUGGGGACUACCCCACCAAUCUCAACCUGCCUUCAUGCCACCACCACUCAUCUGCCUUCUUACUUACAAGUGGUGGUUCUUCUCCAUCAUUGUCUCUGGCUCCAGCUAUCGUGGUGCCCCUCUCACUCCCACCAAACAGACAGCUGUCACAUUCAUUGGCUGAUGCCGACCUUGAAAACCCUAAAUGACAUUGGCCCUGUAUAUUUAAAGAAGCGUCUCCACACCCAUCGUCCAGACCAGAUACUUAGGACCAGCUCCAAGGGCCUUCUGGUGGUUCCCUCAAGCAUUAAUACACUCAAGUGAGAUUCCGUUUUUCAGCUGCUGUUUUUAAUACUAGAAGCAGAAUUUCAAGUUACACUAAGUUACUAUGUAGGCUUAGGUUAUGAACUCAGGAAGAAAGGAAGUUGGGUCAUGUCAAAGUACAAACUGGAUAUGGUAGAGAAAGAUAAUUAUGUAUGAAGAGGGAGGCUGCACUUCGUGUAUCUCUACAGGUAGGGUUAUUCCUAAAAGUUGUAUGUCCAGAAACACUCCAGGGAUGUGAUUCAAUGAUUCCCUUUCAUCAUUAAAGAUGAAUGAAAAAUGAAGAGCAAACUUUAUCUAAGGAGAUAAAUUCAUUCCCAAGGCAGCUCUGUGUGUUUCAUUACUACUAUGGUGGAAUACAGUUAAGAAUCAGGCAACAACUUUAGUUUUUGUGGCCAGGUGUUCCUUUGUGUUCAGAUCAGGCCUCAGAACAAGAAUGUAGCAUUUGGGAAUGAAGAUGCAGCCCAGAAGCCCAGCACUGGAAGCCAAGAUAGAGAAGAUCUGCACGGCUACCAUGUAUUUCCCCUUUGUGCUCAGGUAGGUGGGCACAAAGGAGACCCAAACGCUGCAGAAGACCAGCAUGCUGAAGGUGAUCAGCUUGGCUUCAUUGAAGGCCCCAGGCAGCUUCCUAGCUAAGAAAGCCACUGUGAAGCAGAUGGCAGCCAGGAAGCCCAUGUAACCCAGGGCAGCAUAAAACAUGGCAAUAGACCCUUCAUUGCAUUGCAGGGUGAUCUCUCCAGCCUGGGAAUGCUUGUCAGAGUCUGGGAAUGGGGGAGAGAUGCCCAGCCAAAUGAUGCAAAGGACCAUUUGGACACUGGAGCAGGAAAUGACAAUGGAGUUGGCCAGACUUUUCCCUAACCAUCUCCUCACCCUGUUCCCUGGCUUUGUGGCCAGGAAGGCCAGCACCACCAUGAUGGUUUUGGACAGCAAAGAGGACACAGCUACCGAGAAGAUGGUGCUGAAGGCCGUUUGUCGAAGGAGGCAGGUGACUUUCCUGGGACGGCCAAUGAAGAGGAAGGAAGACAAGAAGGACAGCAGGAGGGAGACAAGGAGGAUGAAGGAGAGGUCCCUGUUGUUGGCUUUGACUAUGGGAGUUUCCUUGUAUUUAAUGAAGAUCCCUACAGCAAAGCCUGUGCUUAAGGACAGGAAGAGAGCCAAAGACGUCAGGAUAAUCCCCAAAUAUUCUUUAUAUGAUAGGAAGGUGAUAAUCCUCGGAAUGCAGUGAUCUCGGUCCUUGUUUGGAUAUUGUUCUUCUGGACAUUUGGUGCAACGCUCUGCAU
rnacentral:lncRNA from 1 species